rnacentral:lncRNA from 1 species
UGAGCACAUCAUUCUUGUUUAAAGGGUAUGUUUCCUCCUUUCCGUGCUGAACACAGCGUAACUUUUCCUAACUCCCCCGACAACGCAGUCGUCCUCGGCCAGUAUAUCCUCGAGUAGUAAACGGAGCCGUAGGGAGCGAAGAUAAUCUAAUAUGUAACAGGAGGAUCCGGUCAAUCUUUGCGCCAAUUUGCCUACGAAGCAUGUUCAGCACCUCGUAGGGUUCGAGGUGGGCGUCAACAUCGAGCAGGUCCUACCGAUGAGGCGGGGCCGCUACUCGUUCUGGAUUUCUGUCGUUUCCGCACUGGGCAAAUUAUGGCGACACCCCGAUAGAAUGAAGGUGAAACCUCGGUAGUUCCAUGCUCUCUUCUAGCCGAGGCGUGCACCCGGCUAACGACGAUGUACAACUCUCUCCUUCUGGGAUCGUGUGCGUUUAGAUACAUUACUGUGUUUUUCUCGUGGCGCCUCUGUUGUCUCAAAUUGUAAGUAACUCGUUGAUGGGAUAGCACAUCCGACAUUUGGGGUACGUCUAUGGCGGCACUGUUACGUUGCCAACUCAUGGCGUAGUCCGGACCGCGAAUUGUUGUGAGAAAACGAGAGCCGGGUAGAAGAAUUCAGGGCAAAGUUCCGGACCCCAUUCAUCUGAAUUGUGUGUGCCGGCGGUCACUCGCAGCAAGCCUGCACAGCUGGCCGUACCAAACAUCCUCAUAGCAGCUGCAACUCCGCCCCGCAGAGGAAAACAACGCAUUCGCCGUCCAAAAACAGUGAUCCGCCUAGUGUGCGCACGCGAUACGCAUCGCGAAUCUCGAAACAGCUGUCACUGGUAAAAAUGUUUGGCCGACUGCUGAUCCAGUAAACGGGUUCCUGCCGCGAGUGUUGCUAUUCGAGAGGCCUCGUGAGAGUGGUGUGUCGUUUCGAGCUGAGGUCUGUGUGCCCGGUCUUCUACCCGCGAACGGAAACAUGGUGUCACGAUCUGUCAAGCGCUCGUGUA